CUUCUUCAAUCUGCUGGGGUGCGAUGAAGUGGAUGUGGGUGUCGAUGCCACCGGCGGUGACGAUGUUGCCCUCGCAGGAGAUGAUUUCCGUGCCCGGGCCAAUGAUGAUGUCCACGCCCGGCUGUGUGUCAGGAUUGCCGGCCUUGCCAAUGGCUGCAAUGCGCCCGUCCUUCAAGCCGAUGUCGGCUUUGACAAUGCCCCAGUGGUCCACGAUCAGCGCAUUGGUCAGUACCGUGUCCAUGGCGCCUUGUUCCCGUGAGCGCUGGCUUUGUGCCAUGCCAUCGCGAAUG
rfam:Acidovorax sp. 12322-1 scaffold1_Contig_1, whole genome shotgun sequence.